rnacentral:tRNA from 1 species
GCGGCUAUGGCGGAACUGGCAGACGCGCCAGGUUUAGGUCCUGGUCCGAGAGGGUGCAGGUUCAAGUCCUGUUAGCCGCA